rnacentral:rRNA from 1 species
GAUGAACGCUGGCGGCGUGCCUAAUACAUGCAAGUCGAGCGAACAGAUAAGGAGCUUGCUCCUUUGACGUUAGCGGCGGACGGGUGAGUAACACGUGGGUAACCUACCUAUAAGACUGGAAUAACUCCGGGAAACCGGGGCUAAUGCCGGAUAACAUUUAGAACCGCAUGGUUCUAAAGUGAAAGAUGGUUUUACUAUCACUUAUAGAUGGACCCGCGCCGUAUUAGCUAGUUGGUAAGGUAACGGCUUACCAAGGCAACGAUACGUAGCCGACCUGAGAGGGUGAUCGGCCACACUGGAACUGAGACACGGUCCAGACUCCGACGGGAGGCAGCAGUAGGGAAUCUUCCGCAAUGGGCGAAAGCCUGACGGAGCAACGCCGCGUGAGUGAUGAAGGUCUUCGGAUCGUAAAACUCUGUUAUUAGGGAAGAACAAAUGUGUAAGUAACUGUGCACGUCUUGACGGUACCUAAUCAGAAAGCCACGGCUAACUACGUG